rnacentral:rRNA from 1 species
UACGUAGGGUGCAAGCGUUAAUCGGAAUUACUGGGCGUAAAGCGUGCGCAGGCGGUUUUGUAAGUCUGUUGUGAAAUCCCCGGGCUCAACCUGGGAAUGGCAAUGGAGACUGCAAGGCUAGAGUUUGGCAGAGGGGGGUAGAAUUCCACGUGUAGCAGUGAAAUGCGUAGAUAUGUGGAGGAACACCGAUGGCGAAGGCAGCCCCCUGGGUCAAAACUGACGCUCAUGCACGAAAAGCGUGGGGGAGCAA